rnacentral:rRNA from 1 species
CGGAACACGUACGCAACCUUCCUUUAACUGGAGAAUAGCCCCUCGAAAGAGGGAUUAAUACUCCGUAACAUAUUGAUAAGGCAUCUUAUUAAUAUUAUAGCUCCGGCGGUUAAAGAUGGGCGUGCGCCUGAUUAGAUAGUUGGCGGGGUAACAGCCCACCAAGUCUGCGAUCAGUAACUGGUGUGAGAGCACGACCAGUCACACGGGCACUGAGACACGGGCCCG